rnacentral:rRNA from 1 species
AUACGUAGGGUGCUAGCGUUAUCCGGAUUUACUGGGCGUAAAGGGUGCGUAGGUGGUCUUUCAAGUCGGUGGUUAAAGGCUACGGCUCAACCGUAUUAAGCCGCCGAAACUGGAAGACUUGAGUGCAGGAGAGGAAAGUGGAAUUCUCAGUGUAGCGGUGAAAUGCGUAGAUAUUGAGAAGAACACCAGUAGCGAAGGCGGCUUUCUGGACUUUAACUGACACUGAGGCACGAAAGCGUGGGUAGCAAACAGGAUUAGAUACCCUGGUAGUCCACGCCGUAAACGAUGAGUAUUAGGUGUCGGGGGUUACCCCCCUCGGUGCCGCAGUUAACGCAUUAAAUACUCCGCCUGGGGAGUACGCACGCAAGUGUGAAACUCAAAUGAAUUGACGGGG